GGCGAUCUCCUAGUACGGCGAGCGAGCGGGAAGAGCUCAAUUUGAAAGCUGGCACCUCCGGUGUCCGCUCUGUAAUCUCGAGACGUGUUUUCCGUGCGGCUCUAUGGACAGUCCCUUGGAAUAGGGCAUCGUAGAGGGUGAGAAUCCCGUACUUGCCAUGGAAGAACCGUGCUUUGCGAUACACGCUCUAAGAGUCGAGUUGUUUGGGAUUGCAGCUCAAAAUGGGUGGUAGACUCCAUCUAAAGCUAAAUAUCGGGGAGAGACCGAUAGCGAACAAGUACCGUGAGGGAAAGAUGAAAAGCACUUUGGAAAGAGAGUUAAAAGUACGUGAAAUUGUCGAAAGGGAAGCACUUGAAGUCAGCCAUGCUGCUUGAGACUCACCUGGCCUUUGGGCUUGGUGUAUUUCUCGGUGGCAAGCCAGCAUUGGUUUGGGUCGUCGGAAACCGCAUAGGGAUGUACGUUUCCGGACGUGUUAUACCUUAUGCAGGAUACACGACCUGGAUCAAGGAACGCGGGCCCUCUGGGGGGGCCUCGGACCCUUCCACUUAGGAUGCGGGGCAAUGAUUUUAGUGGCCGCUUGAAACCGG
rnacentral:rRNA from 1 species